rnacentral:lncRNA from 1 species
UGGGAGAAAGGUUCUAAUUUCCAAGAAAAUAUGGGACGUUAGUUAGAAAAUCCAAACAAAAAGAUCUAGGGAUUGUUGAAAGAUUCAUAAGAAUAUGAACAGAAACCUAUAUAUUGAAUCCUUAUAAGAUGAUGACUAGUGCGCUGUAUAACUCACUUUAGCAAUAUGGAGAUUAUUUAUGAUUUAACAAGCAAGAUUUGGAAGCAAAUAAAAACUAAAUUUAUUAAACUAAUUUUUCUGAUGUUUUAAUAUAUUUUCAUUAAAUUAUGUAUAGCUAUUCGCUUUUUUUGUUUUAGAGUGGUUGAUAAUGAACCAUUAUAGAAAUAUGUCGGUUUUAGCACAAUAGACAUAUCAAAUGAAAUGAUUUACAAGCUUCUAUAAGACUUUGUCAGGAAACUAGUAGCUUGGAGAAGGGAAAGUAUAAACCAAAUAUGAAAGAGAUAAUUACAUUGAGCUCAAGUUUGUUACAUGUCAUAAAGUUUCAGCUCAAGCCAAGCUCAAUUAAUAUCGAGGUCCAUUCGAUCAGUCAAUUGAUGAGAAGAGGAGAAACCAACAAAGGAGAGAAAGCAAUGAAGAGAAAAAUCCAACAAGUGAGAGGAGAGGCAAUCUGAGAUUGUGUAUAAGAAAGAGUUCCUAGCUUUCAAUGACCAAGAACAGGAUCCAACAACUAUGAAGGAAAAGUGUGCCUUUCCCAACAUUGCCAUCCUCUUGCUCUCCUCCAUUCAUCUCUACAGAUCCAGCUUUGGCACCAGGACUGGGUCUAUGGAGCAUGCCUCUGACAACAUGACCUUGUUAAUCGAAAACCUACCACUCAAAAAGUUCUGAUGCAUGGGCUUCUAACUUUUGCAGAUGAAAUAAAAUGUCACGAAAGGCACCAAUGGCAUCACUACAACACAACCACAACCACAUGGGGAAUGAGAAUGAACAAUGAUGGCAGAUUCCAAGAUAUUGAAGAGGAGCACAAAGAUAAGAGUGGAAAAGACUUAACGUAGAAGACCAUGGGUUAUGUAUCUUAGUUUGAUAAAGUCUAAUAUCAAUUGUUAGACCUCAACGUCACAGCUGAUAUUAUCAUUAAGAAAAAUUCGUAGCAGCUAUCAGAUUGGGAUCUACUAGUUGUAAUCACAUAAAUACAUUAACAUCAAAAACUAAACACAAAUAUUUUUAAAUUACGUUUAUAUUUAUAUCUAUAAUAUUAAAAAAGAGACAGUCUUAAAUUUGGAAUAUUCUCCUAUAUAUUGGAUAUGUCAAUGUUUUGGAUAGCGAUGCCGUUAAAUUAAUUCUAAAAAUGUCUACCAUUCUAGAAAAAUUAAGAAAAUAAUCAUAAAUUCAAAAGUAAAUGAAUUAAAAUAAUAACUAUGGUCGAUAGUGCAAGCAUGCAUUGCAUGUGCUCAUUAGUUUGUUGACAUCAAUCAUCAAGCUUGUUUGAGCCUGGUAUACACAUGUUUGGCUAGUUUUACUUCGAUCUCUGAAACUAGCUCAAGCUCCGUUCAUUUUCUAUCAGACAGUUCACCCAUCUCGAGCCAGACAUGAAUAACUUAUGAAGGUCUUGCUCAAUGGACGGCACUCACUUAAAACAAUUAUUGCACUUCACGUUGUCACCAACACAUAUCCAAUUCUUGGAACCUUCUUCUAUUCAAAAGUCUACAAGGCUAACCAAUUGGUAGGAGAUUUCUAAACUUUAACAAACUAUAUACAAAGAAGACCAAUCUCUACCAAGUCCUCGCCAAUUCGUCUAACAAAUUUUUUAAAAUCAUAAACCCAAAACUGCCUAAAACUACAUAAAGAAAUGGAAAAGACAAGUGAAUGAAACGGGGAGGUACAUAUUACCCGACUUUUAUUUUCCAAUUGACAAAUCGUCAGCAAAAUGCACGGUACCGUCAAGACAGCGUAAACAGAUGAAAUUUGCAGCCCAAAAAUAAUAAUAAUAAUAACCAUCAACUCAAAUUCUACUGCUAACAAAUUAGGGAAAAUCAAGAUUUCAGACAAAGCAGCAAGCAACAAUCACGAUUCAAGCCAAAACUAAAAAACAACAAAAGAAAGAUGAAUCAAGGGAAGGGUCCAGGAAGCACCAUAGCUCGCUAGGGUUUGGUCGUCCUUCAAGAUCCGACCUUUAUAGAUCAAUCGCUGCUGCUCGGCCGGCACGUCGCAGCUCCCAGCGACAACAGCCUUGAACGCCUCGACGGUAGAGUCGAGCGACGUCUGGACGGAGAAUUUGGACCCAUUGGAGCACCGGAUGUGGACGGUGGCGCUGCCGCCCCUGUCGGCCGCGCAGGUAUCGCCUGCGUCGCCGGAAUCGCCGUCGGCACCCAUGUCAGGCAAAGAUCGGGCUUCCAAACCCUAAACAGAGACGAGUCCGGUCCCGAUCUGCAAUCAGAGGGGGGAAUUUGAGCUGAGAGAGAAGGGAAGGUGGGGUGGGAGGGAGGGAGUAAUGAGAGGGGAUCGAGAGGUCGGGAGAGAUGCCUUUGCCCAACCAAAACGGGGAAAAAAUGGCUUCCUUUCCUUCUUCGCUCUCCGGCUUCGACUACUUUUCGGCUCUUUUCGUCGAGGAUGCGGGGAAAGUUUGCCUGCAGGCGAAACGCAUAAAACGGACAGUGCGACAAGACAAUACGCCAGAGGAUGCCAUAAAUGGUGAUGCGCUCGUCCGAACGGAAGCCUUUAUGCGAGGGAGGCGGUUUAGCGUGUUGUCACGUGAUCUACACGUGAGUGACAGGCUUUGUGAUUUACAAACUCCCGAGAAAAGUUUUUUGUUUUUUUUUUUUUUUUGUUUU